CGGGAGGAUCCAAGUCGUUAUCCGGUAUUUAUUAGGGGUUUAAAGGGUGCGUAGGUGGUCUUUUUAAGUCAGGGGUGAAAGACGGUAGCUUAACUAUCGCAGUGCCUUUGAUACUGAAGAGCUUGAAUGAACUAGAGGUAGGCGGAAUGUGACAAGUAGCGGUGAAAUGCAUAGAUAUGUCACAGAACACCAAUUGCGAAGGCAGCUUACUAUGGUUUUAUUGACACUGAGGCACGAAAGCGUGGGGAUCAAACAGGAUUAGAUACCCUGGUAGUCCACGCCCUAAACGAUGAAUACUCGAUGUUGGCGAUAUACGGUCAGCGUCUAAGCGAAAGCGUUAAGUAUUCCACCUGGGGAGUACGCCCGCAAGGGUG
rnacentral:rRNA from 1 species